rnacentral:rRNA from 1 species
CGGCGUGGAUUAGGCAUGCAAGUCGAGCGAUCCUUUAAUGGGCUCUGCAUUUUGACGCAAGGAGAAAUGCAGAAUCUGUUUUUGGAUAGCGGCAAACGGGUGAGUAACGCGUGAGUAAUUUUCCCUUAAACCAGACAUAGCUUCGGGAAACCGGAGGUAAUAUCUGAUAAUACCUUAGUAACGCAUGUUAUUUUGGUUAAAGGUGGGGAUCUUAGGACCUGCUGUUUAGGGAUGAGCUCGCGUCCUAUCAGCUAGUUGGUAGGGUAAUGGCCUACCAAGGCGUUUGACGGGUAGCUGGUCUGAGAGGAUGGUCAGCCACACUGGGACUGAGACACUGCCCAGACUCCUACGGGAGGCUGCAGUCGAGAAUAUUUAGCAAUGGGCGAAAGCCUGACUAUGCGACGCCGCGUGAGGGAUGAAGGUUUUCGGAUCGUAAACCUCUUUUAUAAGGAACGAAAGCCCAGAAUCAGAAACGGUUCUGGGGUUGACGGUACCUUAGGAAUAAGCCACGGCCAACUCCGUGCCAGCAGCCGCGGUAAUACGGAGGUGGCAAGCGUUACUCGGAAUCAUUGGGUGUAAAGGGCAAGUAGGCGGUCUGUUAAGUGAGGGGUGAAAUAUUCCGACUCAAUCGGAAAACUGCCUUUCAAACUGACAGACUUGAGGAAGGAAGAGGAAAAUGGAAUUCUCGGUGUAAGGGUGAAAUCUGUGGAUAUCGAGAAGAACACCAGCGGCGAAGGCGAUUUUCCGGUCCUUCCCUGACGCUGAAUUGCGAAAGCUAGGGGAGCAAACAGAAUUAGAUACUCUGGUAGUCCUAGCCGUAAACGAUGAGCACUAGGUGUUGGUCUUUUGAUCAGUGCCGCAGCUAACGCAUUAAGUGCUCCACCUGGGGACUACGGUCGCAAGGCUAAAACUCAAAGGAAUUGACGGGGGCCCGCACAAGCGGUGGAACAUGUGGUUCAAUUCGAUGCUACGCGAAGAACCUCACCAAGGCUUGACAUGCAGGAAGUAGAGAAAUGAAAGUGGAUCGACCUGUCAAGUCAGGAGCCUGCACAGGUGCUGCAUGGCUGUCGUCAGCUCGUGUCGUGAGAUGUUGGGUUAAGUCCCGCAACGAGCGCAACCAUUACCCCUUGUUGCCACUCUCGAUAAUUGGAAACAAAUAUCGAGAAGCACUCUAGGGGGACUGCCUGGGUUAACCAGGAGGAAGGCGGAGAUGACGUCAAGUCAGUACGGCCUUUAUACCUUGGGCUACACACGUGUUACAAUGGCUGGUACAAAGAGUUGCCAACCUGCGAGGGGGAGCUAAUCUCAAAAAACCAGCCUCAGUUCAGAUUGAAGUCUGCAAUUCGACUUCAUGAAGUUGGAAUCGCUAGUAAUGGCAGAUCAGCACGCUGCCGUGAAUACGUUCCCGGGCCUUGUACACACCGCCCGUCAAGCGAUGGGAGCUGGUGGUACCCGAAGUCCUAUGCAAGUAGGCCGAAGGUAAAAUCAGUGACUGGCGCUAAGUCGGAACAAGGUA